rnacentral:rRNA from 1 species
UUGAACGCUGGCGGAAUGCUUUACACAUGCAAGUCGAACGGCAGCACGGACUUCGGUCUGGUGGCGAGUGGCGAACGGGUGAGUAAUGUAUCGGAACGUAUCCAAUAAUGGGGGAUAACUAAUCGAAAGGUUGGCUAAUACCGCAUACGCCCUACGGGGGAAAGCUAGGGAUCUUCGGACCUGGCGUUAAUGGAGCGGCCGACAUCUGAUUAGCUAGUUGGUGAGGUAAAAGCUCACCAAGGCGACGAUCAGUAGCUGGUCUGAGAGGACGACCAGCCACACUGGAACUGAGACACGGUCCAGACUCCUACGGGAGGCAGCAGUGGGGAAUUUUGGACAAUGGGCGAAAGCCUGAUCCAGCCAUUCCGCGUGAGUGAAGAAGGCCUUCGGGUUGUAAAGCUCUUUCGCAAGAGAAGAAAACUUAGUCUCUAACAUAGACUGAGGUUGACGGUAUCUUGAUAAGAAGCACCGGCUAACUACGU